rnacentral:rRNA from 1 species
CGGCUCACCUAGGCGACGAUCCCUAGCUGGUCUGAGAGGAUGACCAGCCACACUGGAACUGAGACACGGUCCAGACUCCUACGGGAGGCAGCAGUGGGGAAUAUUGCACAAUGGGCGCAAGCCUGAUGCAGCCAUGCCGCGUGUGUGAAGAAGGCCUUCGGGUUGUAAAGCACUUUCAGCGGGGAGGAAGGCGAUAAGGUUAAUAACCUUGUCGAUUGACGUUACCCGCAGAAGAAGCACCGGCUAACUCCGUGCCAGCAGCCGCGGUAAUACGGAGGGUGCAAGCGUUAAUCGG